AAGAUUGCAGUGAUGAAGCAAUUUAUUCGUGGACUAGAGUUUCUGAUCUGGGCUUCUUCUCCCAGAAGUUGAAGACUAACCCUUGGCUGUCUGAGUAAUCUU